rfam:Rhizophagus irregularis DAOM 197198w jcf7180003192800, whole genome shotgun sequence.
AGUUACGGCCAUACACAGUGAAAAGCGCCAGAACCCGUCCGAUCUCCGAAGUUAAGCCACUGUGGGUCUAUAUACCAUAUAGACCGUUCAAUAAAUCACUUUCCAUAGUAACUC